AGGAAAUGGGAGGAGGGGCCAGCCCCAGGCCCCACAAGAAAUCUAUGGGGCC
rfam:Oryctolagus cuniculus unplaced genomic scaffold chrTn1320, whole genome shotgun sequence.